ACAGGACACCUCCAAGCGACGUCAACGUCGGACAAGCCGAACGACAAGAGAAGUCUGGCGGAUGACAAUUUAAUAUGCAGGCGAGGUAACACAAAACCUCCUUUUUCUUUUCAUUCAAUUUACGAAAUAUACACCACGAAGCCCAGAAGGCCAAAGGAAGAAAAGCAAAGCGACAAAAGCGAGACAAAAUAACAAAAGGGAAAAUGUAUACAUGAAAAGAUGGAAGGCCAAGAAGAGCCCUAGGGAAGCUCUGCUCCUUCCGACCUAGAAUUAUCUGCUCCACCCCUCAUCCAGGACUGCCUCAGAUUCUCAACUUCUUCUUCUAGCUCUCUCCUUUUCAGCAGCGCAUCCUGGAGCGCCCGAUG
rnacentral:lncRNA from 1 species